CAGUAGCCGCGGUAAUACGUAGGGUGCGAGCGUUAAUCGGAAUUACUGGGCGUAAAGCGUGCGCAGGCGGUUUUGUAAGACAGGUGUGAAAUCCCCGGGCUUAACCUGGGAACUGCGCUUGUGACUGCACAGCUAGAGUAUGGCAGAGGGGGGUGGAAUUCCACGUGUAGCAGUGAAAUGCGUAGAGAUGUGGAGGAACACCGAUGGCGAAGGCAGCCCCCUGGGCCAAUACUGACGCUCAUGCACGAAAGCGUGGGGAGCAAACAGGAUUAGAUACCCCUGUAGUCCCUGUCUCUUAUAC
rnacentral:rRNA from 1 species